rnacentral:lncRNA from 1 species
CUUAAAGGAAGCAGUGCUGGAGUCGGGAUGGUGGUUCUCGCUGCAAAUCUAUGAGCUGUGGCCUCCUCUGCUGAGGAGUGUGUAGAACACCAUACCAAAAGUGCCAUCAAGGGGGAAAACCUGGCUUCUGUAUUCAAGGUGAUUGCUGCCUCAUUCUGGAGGGGUAGGAGUGCUGCAUUAAUACCGAAUGAGGUAUCUUCAAAUGUAUACUAUGCAAUGCUAAUGGAAAGAGCUGGAACUGGAAGCAGGGAUGUGAUGAAGGAGGCCUGGAACCAUUUCUAUCCUGCCAUGUCUUAAUAGAAUUGGCAAAGAAUGUUUGUGUUUAUAACAAAUGGACUUUUCUUUCUGUCUUUAAUGGAGAAAAUAAACA